rnacentral:rRNA from 1 species
CGCGGCCUAUCAGCUUGUUGGUGAGGUAAUGGCUCACCAAGGCAUCGACGGGUAGCUGGUCUGAGAGGACGAUCAGCCACACUGGGACUGAGACACGGCCCAGACUCCUACGGGAGGCAGCAGUAGGGAAUCUUGCGCAAUGGGGGAAACCCUGACGCAGCAACGCCGCGUGUGGGAUGACGGCUUUCGGGUUGUAAACCACUUUCAGUGAUGACGAAAAUGACGGUAAUCACAGAAGAAGGUCCGGCCAACUACGUGCCAGCAGCCGCGGUAACACGUAGGGACCGAGCGUUGUCCGGAUUUAUUGGGCGUAAAGAGCUCGUAGGCGGUUCUGUAAGUCGGAUGUGAAAACUCAGGGCUCAACCCUGAGACGCUAUCUGAUGCUGCAGUGACUAGAGUCCGGUAGAGGAAGAUGGAAUUCCUGGUGUAGCGGUGGAAUGCGCAGAUAUCAGGAGGAACACCAAUGGCGAAGGCAGUCUUCUGGGCCGGUACUGACGCUGAGGAGCGAAAGCAUGGGGAGCAAACAGGAUUAGAUACCCUGGUAGUCCAUGCCGUAAACGUUGGGCACUAGGUGUGGGGUCUUCUAACGGAUUCCGUGCCGUAGCUAACGCAUUAAGUGCCCCGCCUGGGGAGUACGG